rnacentral:lncRNA from 1 species
GUUAUGCUCUAAGAUUAUCGAUUACUUUUCCGUUGUUGCUUAUUUCCCACAGCAGCAGAAUGAGAACGGUUAUUAGUUAAUAGCCAUCAGAGACAGACCAAGUGGAACACAGUCCUCGGAAAAACGCCACUCUGUAGCAUUAGUAAUUAAAACCUCACAAGGUUUGUAUUUCCUGAAGGAGGCCGUCAGUGUCAAUGCUGUACUAACGACGGUACUGUACGUAAGUUUCGGUACUGCCCCCACUUUCUUCUCCUUGACAUUGUAUUACUAAAAGCUGCAGCUACUCUCUACAGUUUUCUCAUUGGUUACUAAUGUCUGGAACAGCAGCUAGAUUAUGCAGUAAGCUCUUGGUAUGUAUUAGCUAUUAUAUAAUAAUUUAUUUGAAUAGAGUAGAACUAAAAAUUUGAAAUGAGUUAAAACCAAAGAGUUAAAAGAUUUAUGGUAGUAAAUAUUCAUACUGUUUUGUUGAUUUGGACAGUUGUCUUGAACAGCUUUGAAAGGGAACAUAUGACAGGUUUCGUUUAUAAUUUUAAUUGAUGCUGAACUCCACUAACAUGAUAUGUGCAGCUGGUGUUACAUUAUAACUGAGUUUUUUAAUUACCCAGUGAAGAAAUUCAAGAUGUCAUGCUCUUGUUUUUCUCCAGAGUGAACCACAAAGUCUGAAAAACUGUUGUUGACGACUUCUCAGUCCUUUAUGUGGAGCUGGGGGCAGGAAGAAUUGCUUCUGGAAGCUGAUGGAGUUGGACAUGUGGCUUUCUAGAAUCUGGAUGUGAUGGUGCAGGAAAAACUCCUGCCCAUUGAGAGGGCUCCGUAAGUGCUUCCCAAAAGAGAAUGAGAAGGAAAAGGAGAUCUCCACAGGAACUGCCUCCUUGGAUCCAGGGCAAAAAUGAACCUCCUAUUGGAGAGAAGUGCCCAGCUUGUCAAGAAGUUGAAUCGGUGCAACCAGCGUUUGUGAAAGCAGCAUUUCCCAUUUCACAUAAAGUCAGCUUCUGGCCAACUGGACAAGUCUGAACAAAUAUGAAACCCACUAAAAGGCCAGUGACAGGUGCACACACUACUGACUCUGGCUAGAGGCUGUGGCAGGAAUUGGACUCAUGUCAUCCAGCGACAGUUCCACCAGCAUCUCUUGUGGCUUCCCAAGGACCAGCCUGAGGCAAACUCCUCAGUGGUGUGAAGACUUUCCAUGUCACUGGAAACCCACCACAGAGUUCUACCAAGUAACCAUGCCUCCACCAGUCCACAACAAACUUUUAAGGCCUCUCCAGUUAUGCCUGCAACCAUCCCACAUUAGCAACCUAAGUAGGCCACCAGUAGAGCUGGUCAAGAGAAAGGAUAGGUUCAAUUAAUUAUUUUUUAAUUAAAAAAAAAUAGAGACAGGGUCUUGUUAUGUUGCCGAGGCUGGUCUUGUACUCCUGAGCUGAAAUUAUCUUCCCGCCUCAGUCUCCCAAAGUGCUGAGAUUACAGGUGUGAGCCACCGUACUCAGCCAGAUAGAUUCAAUUUUUAAAACUUUAUUGCCAUUACUGUUCAGUAACCCCUUGAUAUGGUUGAAUAUUUGUCCCCUCCAAAACUUAUGCUGAUAUCUAAUCCCCAAUGUGACACUAUUGAGAGCUGGGGCUUUUAAGAUGUGAUUAGGUCAUGAGGGCUCCACCUUCUGAAUGGAUUAAUCCAUUCAUGGAUUAAUGAGUUCAUGGGUUAAUAGAUUAAUUUAUCUUGGGAGUGGGAUUAGUGGUUUUAUAAGAAGAGUGAGACCUCAGCUAGCAUAUUAGCACUCAGCUCCCUUGGCAUGUGAUACCACCUUGGGACUCUGCAGAGAGUUCCACCAGCAAGGCCUGUACCAGAUGCAGCCCCUUGACCUUGAACUUUUCAGCUUCCAGAACUGUAAGAAAUAGGCCAGGCAUAGUGGUUUACACCUGUCAUCCCACCACUCUGAGAGGCCAAGGCCAGUGGAUUGCUUGAGCCCAGGAGUUUGAGGCUUCAGUGAGCUAUGAUCAUGCCAUUGC